rnacentral:other from 1 species
CACAAAAGGAGGGAGGGAGAGAACGAGAAGCAGAACUUCCUCCACCUUCGGGAGCUCUGGGCGGAGGGGGGGGCUGGCCAGGGAGGUUGGGUGACUGGGCUAGAGGGGGUGCCCACUCCUGUCCCCCAAUCUACUCUUGCCCAUUCUCUCCUGGUGUGUCGUUAGUCGCAGCGUUGGAGAUUGGCGCGGGCCCCCGCCCUUCGCAUACCCCACGGGAAGGAAGCACCCCCGGUAUUAAAAAAGAGCAGAGCGGAAAGAAGCGCUUAGUCGCCGGCGAGGAGGCGAGCCGAUGCCGAGCUGCACCGCGUCCACCAUG